rnacentral:rRNA from 1 species
GCCGCAAUGGAACUGAGACACGGUCCAUACUCCUACGGGAGGCAGCAGUGGGGAAUCUUGCGCAAUGGGCGAAAGCCUGACGCAGCAAUCCCGCGUGAAGGAUGAAGCAUUAUGGUGUGUAAACUUCUUUUCUGGUGGAAGACGAAUGACGGUACACCAGGAAUAAGGGACGGCUAACUACGUGCCAGCAGCCGCGGUAAUACGUAGGUCCCAAGUGUUAUCCGGAAUUACUGGGCGUAAAGAGUCUGUAGCCGGGUUUGUAAGUCUGUUUUCAAAUCCUAUGGCUUAACCAUAGAGAGGGAAUGGAUACUGCAAACCUUGAGAUUAUUGGGGGUUGAUGGAAUUUCCGGUGGAGCGGUGAAAUGCGUUGAUAUCGGAAGGAACGCCAAAAGUGAAAGCAGUCAACUACAAUAAAUCUGACGGUCAGAGACGAAAGCUUGGGGAGCAAACGGGAUUAGAUACCCCGGUAGUCCAAGCCGUAAAUUAUGCAUGCUAGGUGUCUUGUUCACUUUAUGUGAGCGGGGUGCCGUAAUCUAACGAGCUAAGCAUGCCGCCUGGGUAGUAUAUUCGCAAGAAUGAAACUCAAAGGGAUAGGCGGGGGAACACACAAGCAGUGGAUUGUCUCGAUUAAUUGGAUAAUAAGCCAAGAAUCUUACCUAGACUUGACAUAUAUUGUGUCCUACGUGAAAGUGUAGUAAUCCCGAUUUUGUCGGGAUACGAUAUACAGGUGGUGCAUGGUCGUCGUCAGCUCGUGCCGCAAGAUGUCCAGUUAAGUCUGGGAACGAGCGCAACCCUCGUUGUUAGUUAGAAUGUCUAACAAGACUGCUCCGGCAACGGAGAGGAAGGAGAGGAUGACGUCAGAUCAUCAUGCCCCUUACGUCUAGGGCUUCAUAGACAAUACGAUGGAUAGUACAGCGAGAAGCGAUGCCGCGAGGCUAAGCAAAUCUCACAAAGCUAUCCCUAGUUCGGAUUGCAGUCUGGAACUCGACUGCAUGAAGUCGGAAUUGCUAGUAAUGGCGGGUCAGCAUACCGCCGUGAUAUGUCCCUGUUCCUUGCACUCACCGCCCGUCAAACCAUGGGAGUUGA